AUUUAGUUGUGCCCCGGUAGAUACGGAUCUUCAUCAACUCAUUGCCCUUCCGGAACCGGAGCUCCAUCUGUUCUUGUCUUGCCCUGGGACACACAGAGGCCCGGGGCAGUAAACCUGCUUCAAAUUCAGCCCACCCAAAGCUGGACUAAGAUCGUUUCACCCAAAAUGGUUCCUGUUCCAGUGUUGCCGUCAGGCUGAUGAGACUAGCCCAGGGCAGGCCCCUCAUCCAUGCCCACUUGAGAAACCCGCACCCCUCCACGUCCAAGUGACUGAGCCCUAUUGGCACUGCCAUCUCUGCAUGCUCCAGCAUCACAUCCCCUGGGUUGGUGGUCUCAGCUCCACCACCUACACUGUUGCUGACAAGACUGGUUCCGAGCUACCAGCAUGAUGUCUUUUGAAAGAGAUGCAUACAGGGAUCCUUCAUGAGUGUGUGUGAGUGAGACAACUCCUGUACCACAGGACCUGUGAGGAGGGCAUGGGCCUUCUCCAGGAGGAAGACGGAUCCAUCGAGAGAGUCUGGCAGCCCCUGACGGUGCAGUAAAUCCCACGAGGACAGAGGCUGCACAUCUAUCACUGUGUGCCCCGCCUGCUGCAGCUGCACGUAAUGGCUCUCAGAAACAAGAUGAAACAGGAUUUCUGCUCAGAGACGUCCAUCAAACCCUGCAGCGCCCCUACUUUUUCCUCUGACAUGAUGACACCUACUGGCCUGAGCAGAAACAGCACCUCUCUUACUUGCUACCUGAGACCCAGAGAUGUUACUGAAAAGCAGAGGCACUACUUUGUCUACAAAGGUCUGUAUAGUCAGAGCUAUGUUUUUCCAGUAGUCAUGUAUGGAUGUGAGAG